UGAACGUCAUCGACGACACGAGAUAUGUGUUCAGAAUCUAGAAUUCCGUAAGCGUGCGCUCUGGAAGCGUUUUAAACCACCCCUAUUCGGCGGAUUGGAUAAGAUUGCAUGAUCACGUCAUUUUCGUGUUUCGUUAUGUAAUCGAAUUUCAAAGUGGAUAAAAACGAUCAGAAAGAGUAGGAAAGAACUGUUGAAAGAGGAGGAGCGUACCAGGCACCCCUGCAGAACUACAUGAUCACCAAAUGCAGGUAAAGAAGCAAAAGCUAUCGCGUGGAUUGCCCUAACCAUUUCUGUUCUACAAACUCUGACCCACUUAUUCAAACGCAUCUUGAUUCACGUGAAGAGGCGACCUGAUGAAUCACUUCGACCUGCUAUCGCUAAUUGUUAGAGUUCAAUUUCACGCUGAUAAUUU